CUUCUGAGAAAGAAAACUAGGAGAGCUUAUAUGGAGGACGAAAUAAAAUCUAGGGGCGUAUAUGCACUUUUACAUAGCUAAGAGGUCCGUAAGUGGUUUUGAACAGUCCUGGGGUCCAAACAGAGUUGACUUCUUCCCAAGGCGACUACUAUUCCCACUUUCCCACCCGCAGUGGUACUCCCACCCUUCAUCGUUACAAAUUUCAACCUUCCCACAUAUAUCACAAAGACAACAAUGGAUGAAGCUCUUUCUCUGAUAAUACGAGGCAGUCUGCAAUUUGAAAUGAGUGCUUCGCUUAGCUAGCUGCUUGACAUCAUAUAAGGCCCAUUCAGAAGAAACAUUACAAUGCAAAUAUCGGAGAACACACCAAGCUAAGGCACUUGAAAGUAAUGGGAGAGAUGCACAUAUGUAUUCCUUGCCACCAUAUGUACCAGCCUCUUUAAGAGCAGCAGCAGGACCUCCAAACUCCACCUGAUCCACAAGAUAACCACCGGCUAUAAAAUAAUGACUACAACACAAUGCAGAAUAAAUAUACCAGCGAUUUUGGCUUUUAAUGGAAGAAGGCGACAGGUAUAGUGAAAAACUUUAAUGCUUUAUCUGCAGAAAUAUAUGUUGCAACUUGAUUUUAUAAUCUGGCAUUGUAGGUGUACCUUUUCUAUCUUUUGAGAGAGGUGCGACUCUCAAUGAGAAUUUUAGCUACUAGUGGAUGCUAUAUAGAUUUGACCUUUUUCAUGUGCUAUUUUUCCUUAAGAGGUGAACUGCUUAAUGUGGAGUUUGCUCAUAAAUAGUCUUGCAACGUGAGGAAAACAGACUUUUUACUACACAUUGGUGAAGUCUGUCAAAGCAAAGUUUCCUUUGUUAGAGUAAUGAUCAUAAAGCUGUACCUUUAAGUCUAAUUUCGGAGUAAAAAGAUGCCUGAUUUGGCUAGUUACGUCGUCACUCAUAUUAACAUUAGCUUCAUCAUUUUUGGCUGUGGUCGAGGUGUAUUCCAACUUCCAACCCUAGCUAACAUGAAAUCAUACUAUUUUCAUUUGAUUAGUGAUGCCAUGCUUUGAUAGGAAGAGAUGAUAAAACAGAGAUAAAUUGGCAACUUUAGGCUCUAGUUUUCUCCUUCACUUAAUUGGAGCAAACUUUUUCCAGUAAAAUGUGAAAGCAAUGAACAUUAGGGAUUACAUGUCUCAAGCCACGAUUCUCUGACGUGGGAAAAGCAAUUCAGUUUCCACAUUGGGUGCAUUCCAAUUGACUAUUAUCUCCUGUAAUCUCUUUUCGUUUUCUAUUUCCAUUAUAACUGGGGCAGGAGGGUUCUAUUUUGGCAGGAAUGUUAUAUUUCCUCUAAUUUUUACUAGUACAUAUUCCUUUAAUUGCUUAGGAUAUGUGUAUUAAUCCUAGCUAAAUGAUCAAAGUAACACGAGUUACAGCAACUACAGUUUUACGUUUUCUUUUUACCAUAGUAAACGACUGAGUUUGUUUGUACACUUUGUAUUCCAAUUUGAUUUCUAUGAUCAGAUAACCACUCAUAAUCUUAUGCUAAAAAGGUAUUCCUAAGAUAUUUGAUCAACGAUAUCGGCUAUGGAAGAGGCAAAAGGUAUGGUGAAUUUCUUUAGUUAUGCAUCAUCUCCGGCCAGCAGUGGAGCUACUUUUGGUAUCACUCUUCGCUGAAUUUUAUGUUUUUUUUUUUUUUUAAUCUCCUUACUAAAUUUCUGUCUCCGCUACUGACAUCCUAGUGGCUAGCAAUAUAUAUAAAAACUUGAACUUAAUGCACACUGAUCUACAAUAUAUGUAGCUUUUCUCUAU